CCCAGCUUGUGGAUUCUCACUCAGGGGUCUUGCGAUUUUGGUACUUUUUUUAAAUGUCGUGAGUGCUCCAGGAGAUUUCUCAGCCAUUUGGAUCAGGCCCGUUUUCUCUUUAGCUCAAAGCAACAGCAUGCCUGGUGGCAAGAAACUUAAACACAGUGAGAUUGAAAGAGAAAUGGGAGAGUGACAGGAGGAGAUGGAGAAGGGUGAUCAACCAGCAUUAUGACGACCCCAAAUAAAAUGGGAGAAGCCAGAAGAAGAAGCGGCAAUCCUUUCUACCCAAGUGCAAGAAAAGUAAAAUCGGCAGGAACUCUACCAUCUAGAAAGACAAGGAUCAGUAGACACAUGGGAACACCACCACCUUGAGCUUCCCCUCCAAGUCACUCACC